CCAGCUGCCUUUCCCAGCCAGCUCCAGUGCUGGGCCCAGGCCAGUGGGACCAUCAAGUCUGUGGAAUGGCAGGACAGGGGUUCAUUGCCAGUGGUCACUACAGGGUGGCCAUGCACAGAACACCUGCCCUGCUGCCCAAAAGUCCCACCCUGACGUCAGGAAUCCUCAUGCCAAGCGCUGCACAGGUUGAUUGUGAGAGACAGAGCUGCCCCACAGGUUAUCAAGGAAGACUGAGGUUUGAAGAGAGACGUGGAGAGCGCUAAACAGAAAUCUGGCAGUCUGUAAACAGCUCGCUCCAGGGUUUUAAAUUGUCAGGAUGCAACCAAAGCAGCAGAGUUCCUUUCCCAAUUAAAAAAUAAAACAAAUUUGAAAAGUUCUGCAUGUAAAUCGA